CUGAAGUAGUAUGGACCAUUUAAGUCUAGCAAGGAUUUAAAUCAUUUCAAUGUGGGUAUUUGUUUUCCUAACUGCACUGACAGAAAGCACUAUUUACCCACUACCAUUACAAUCAAAUUCUCCGAAUCAUUAUAAAUUUAACAAUGGUAGGUCUAAGAAGAUGGAAUAGUUGCAAAAUCAAACGUCACAAGUUCAUGAACACAAGUUCACUACUCGUUGCUGUUUGAAACUCAACAUUGAGAAUUUAAAACAUCCAUGUAAGCCUUUAAAAAAAAUCAGUCUCCGCAUCCUGCUCCUCUGUAUCCCGGCAUAACCUCUCUGUUGCACACUUGAUGCUUUACAUCAUUAUAUGUGUACCUGCCCUGAGUCAAAAAGAAAAGACAAAGCCGCAAACUAUCAAAAACCAUGUAUUCAACUUGCCACACAUGUUAGAAAUGUUAAAUACAAUACAGGACUAUAAGUAGCAACAAGUUGUAUGGCAAAUCACUGCAAGUAAGAGGAGAAAAUAAAGCGGUGUGGUGUGGACAUUCCCAACUAAAAGCAUCGUCUACCAUUUUCAUAAUCCAAAUUUCAUUGCAGCAGAUAUAGAAUCUACGAGUAAAAAGAAAAAUGUAAGAAUGAUCGAGAAUCUCAAAUACAAGCAAGUUUCAACUAAACCAUAAUUACUUAAGAAAGUAUUAGGAUCAAACACAAUAGAGGGUCUCGAGGUACUGAUAUGGACUAUUAAUAUGUUGUGUACACCUGCCAAUAAGAAUUUCCCACUCUAGAUCAAAAAUUGUUUUGGAUGUCCCAUCUGAAACUUUAUAGGUCAUUACUACACCAUCCACUAAUAUCACCAUCACAGACUCUUUUUCAUCUUUGCCGCGAAUGAUGCUCAAUACUUUAUAGAUAUUCCAGCUUAGUUCAGGAGAUUCGCUUCUCAGGGAUUCAAGAUUAAUGUGAUACUUCACAAGCCAUUCAGAAUAGUCUGCUGCCAUCUCCAAAACAACAUAAUCUAGAGGGGGAGAAGAAUUUCUGUAACCUAUAACAUACAGAAGACCAAGAGACUCCCCGAAGUACCACACAUUCAACUCAGAAGGUAAAGGCAAUUUCUUGAAUAUCUCAUUAUCAAUAUCAAAGUAGACCACUGAUGCAAUUCCAAUGUUUCUGAACCAAUGAAUCGCACCAUUACAAUAAAACCCACUAUAAAAGCCGAUUCCUAAUUUUAUUGGUGAGAAUUCGCCAUCGAUAGACAGGUCUGUUACAUCUGUUGUUCGUGAAGUCCAGGAAUCAGUCUCAGAUGAAUACGUAUAAAUUUCAACAGUACUCUUAAUCAUUUUGAGCAUGACGAUGAUCUUGUAGUAUGGCGAUCGUUUAGGAUCAAAAGCCAGGCAAAUACACAUCACAUGAUGCUGAUAGUAAAGGAGAGGAUAAGGAAUUCUCAAUUUUUGCUUCAGAGGACUAGGAAAAGAGAUUCUCUUGAAUUGUCUAGUAGUGGGAUUACAGAGAAAAUAUACGAACCCACGAUCGUCAUCAGUAACCACAGAGCUACAACGGUAGACCCCACUGUGGUAAUCAGGCAAGAACUUCUCGGUGGGGCUGACCAGAAAGCUAGAACAGAGGAGAAGCAAGCCAUUGCAUGAUUGGUGAAUAUGGACGUGAGGAACGUUCAGAUAAUCGAAGGAAAGAUGAAGCUUUUCUGUAUUUAGAGGGAUGAUAUGGAAAUUGGGAGCGUUAUAGUAGAAGUCAUUGAUCAAGAGAGCAGUGGGCGAGGGAUUCAAUCUCUGUUGAAACAGAAAGUGGGAGGCACCGAAUUGGGGAUUGGAAAUCAAAGAUAGCCAUCGCUUGGACACGCAUUUAAACUUGAGCAAUGGUUUGGUGGGUACUCGGGUGAGAAUUUCGAUCAAAAGAUCAUCUGUCUCGGCCACCGUCGCCGCCGAAUUCGAGGUCAUCUUCUCUUCGGCAGGCCCUAGAAAUCUUCCCUUUUUCAUUUUGUUACUGCUUCUUGUUCUCAGCGAGUUUUUUGGGAUUUCCGGAGAGAAAAGUUUAGAGCUAGUCCACUGCGUAAAUCACUCUCGGAUGAUAAGAUUGUACA
rnacentral:misc_RNA from 1 species